UACGAAGGGUGCAAGCGUUAUUCGGAGUUAUUGGGCGUAAAGAGCGUGUAGGCGGCUCGUUAAGUUUGUUGUUAAAUUACUCAGCUCAACUGGGUGUUCGCAACGGAAACUGGCGAGCUAGAGUGUAAGAGAGAGAAGUGGAAUUCUCGGAGUAGCGGUAAAAUGCGUAGAUCUCGAGAGGAACACCGGUAGCGAAGGCGGCUUCUUGGCUUACUACUGACGCUCAAAUGCGAAAGCGUGGGGAGCAAACAGG
rnacentral:rRNA from 1 species